rnacentral:rRNA from 1 species
AACGUAGGAGGCAAGCGUUAUCCGGAUUUAUUGGGCGUAAAGAGCGUGUAGGCGGCCAGGUAGGUCUGCUGUGAAAACUCGAGGCUUAACCUCGAGCUGUCGGCGGAAACCAUCUGGCUAGAGUCCGGAAGAGGAGAAUGGAAUUCCCGGUGUAGCGGUGAAAUGCGCAGAUAUCGGGAAGAACACCCGUGGCGAAGGCGGUUCUCUGGGACGGUACUGACGCUGAGACGCGAAAGCGUGGGGAGCGAACAGG